UACGUAGGUGACAAGCGUUGUCCGGAAUUAUUGGGCGUAAAGCGCGCGCAGGCGGUCCUUUAAGUCUGAUGUGAAAGCCCACGGCUCAACCGUGGAGGGUCAUUGGAAACUGGAGGACUUGAGUACAGAAGAGGAAAGCGGAAUUCCACGUGUAGCGGUGAAAUGCGUAGAGAUGUGGAGGAACACCAGUGGCGAAGGCGGCUUUCUGGUCUGUAACUGACGCUGAGGCGCGAAAAGCGUGGGGAGCAAACAGG
rnacentral:rRNA from 1 species